rnacentral:rRNA from 1 species
CCUACGGGUGGCAGCAGUGAGGAAUAUUGGUCAAUGGACGAGAGUCUGAACCAGCCAAGUAGCGUGAAGGAUGACUGCCCUAUGGGUUGUAAACUUCUUUUAUAUGGGAAUAAAACGUUCCACGUGUGGGAUUUUGUAUGUACCAUAUGAAUAAGGAUCGGCUAACUCCGUGCCAGCAGCCGCGGUAAUACGGAGGAUCCGAGCGUUAUCCGGAUUUAUUGGGUUUAAAGGGAGCGUAGGUGGAUUGUUAAGUCAGUUGUGAAAGUUUGCGGCUCAACCGUAAAAUUGCAGUUGAAACUGGCAGUCUUGAGUACAGUAGAGGUGGGCGGAAUUCGUGGUGUAGCGGUGAAAUGCUUAGAUAUCACGAAGAACUCCGAUUGCGAAGGCAGUUCACUGGACUGCAACUGACACUGAGGCCCGAAAGUGUGGGUAUCAAACAGGAUUAGAUACCCUAGUAGUC